CCUAGGAAAGCCAAAGGGUAUUUAAUCCAGGAGAUGCAGCAAGCACAUGUCUUCACCCUACUGCCUCUUGGAAUUUCUACCAGCUGAACACCUCUGGAAAUAGGAGUGAUAUGAAUAUUGAUGCCUGAAUCUGCUAACUGGCAAUGUGUUGUCUGAAUAAGACAUUCAGUACAUGAAGAUGCCUUUUCUGAUCUCUAAGAAUUCAGACCUAAACAAAUGCUUUUGGAAUUCUAUUUAUCAUACAGCAUGCUGGCUUCCCACCUAGGGCAUGUUUAUAGAGCCCAGACCCAUGGCACAGCAGGUAAAGAAGCCAGAUGGCUGAGGGUUUGGUUUG